GGGUUGUGAGGUUAAGCGACUAAGCGUACACGGUGGAUGCCCUGGCAGUCAGAGGCGAUGAAGGGCGUGCUAAUCUGCGAUAAGCGCCGGUAAGGUGAUAUGAACCGUUAUAACCGGCGAUACCCGAAUGGGGAAACCCAGUGUGAUUCGUCACACUAUCAUUAACUGAAUCCAUAGGUUAAUGAGGCGAACCGGGGGAACUGAAACAUCUAAGUACCCCGAGGAAAAGAAAUCAACCGAGAUUCCCCCAGUAGCGGCGAGCGAACGGGGAGGAGCCCAGAGCCUGAAUCAGCAUGUGUGUUAGUGGAAGCGUCUGGAAAGGCGCGCGAUACAGGGUGACAGCCCCGUACACAAAAGCGCAUGUGCUGUGAGCUCGAUGAGUAGGGCGGGACACGUGGUAUCCUGUCUGAAUAUGGGGGGACCAUCCUCCAAGGCUAAAUACUCCUGACUGACCGAUAGUGAACCAGUACCGUGAGGGAAAGGCGAAAAGAACCCCGGCGAGGGGAGUGAAAAAGAACCUGAAACCGUGUACGUACAAGCAGUGGGAGCACAGGUUUACCUGUGUGACUGCGUACCUUUUGUAUAAUGGGUCAGCGACUUAUAUUCUGUAGCAAGGUUAACCGAAUAGGGGAGCCGGAGGGAAACCGAGUCUUAAUUGGGCGUUAAGUUGCAGGGUAUAGACCCGAAACCCGGUGAUCUAGCCAUGGGCAGGUUGAAGGUUGGGUAACACUAACUGGAGGACCGAACCGACUAAUGUUGAAAAAUUAGCGGAUGACCUGUGGCUGGGGGUGAAAGGCCAAUCAAACCGGGAGAUAGCUGGUUCUCCCCGAAAGCUAUUUAGGUAGCGCCUCGUGAAUUCAUCUCCGGGGGUAGAGCACUGUUUCGGCUAGGGGGCCAUCCCGGCUUACCAACCCGAUGCAAACUGCGAAUACCGGAGAAUGUUAUCACGGGAGACACACGGCGGGUGCUAACGUCCGUCGUGAAGAGGGAAACAACCCAGACCGCCAGCUAAGGUCCCAAAGUCAUGGUUAAGUGGGAAACGAUGUGGGAAGGCCCAGACAGCCAGGAUGUUGGCUUAGAAGCAGCCAUCAUUUAAAGAAAGCGUAAUAGCUCACUGGUCGAGUCGGCCUGCGCGGAAGAUGUAACGGGGCUAAACCAUGCACCGAAGCUGCGGCAGCGACACUGUGUGUUGUUGGGUAGGGGAGCGUUCUGUAAGCCUGUGAAGGUGGCCUGUGAGGGUUGCUGGAGGUAUCAGAAGUGCGAAUGCUGACAUAAGUAACGAUAAAGCGGGUGAAAAGCCCGCUCGCCGGAAGACCAAGGGUUCCUGUCCAACGUUAAUCGGGGCAGGGUGAGUCGACCCCUAAGGCGAGGCCGAAAGGCGUAGUCGAUGGGAAACGGGUUAAUAUUCCCGUACUUGGUGUUACUGCGAAGGGGGGACGGAGAAGGCUAUGUUGGCCGGGCGACGGUUGUCCCGGUUUAAGCGUGUAGGUGUGUGUUCCAGGUAAAUCCGGUUCACUUUAACACUGAGGCGUGACGACGAGGCACUACGGUGCUGAAGCAACAAAUGCCCUGCUUCCAGGAAAAGCCUCUAAGCAUCAGGUAACAUCAAAUCGUACCCCAAACCGACACAGGUGGUCAGGUAGAGAAUACCAAGGCGCUUGAGAGAACUCGGGUGAAGGAACUAGGCAAAAUGGUGCCGUAACUUCGGGAGAAGGCACGCUGACACGUAGGUGAAGUGAUUUACUCAUGGAGCUGAAGUCAGUCGAAGAUACCAGCUGGCUGCAACUGUUUAUUAAAAACACAGCACUGUGCAAACACGAAAGUGGACGUAUACGGUGUGACGCCUGCCCGGUGCCGGAAGGUUAAUUGAUGGGGUCAGCGCAAGCGAAGCUCCUGAUCGAAGCCCCGGUAAACGGCGGCCGUAACUAUAACGGUCCUAAGGUAGCGAAAUUCCUUGUCGGGUAAGUUCCGACCUGCACGAAUGGCGUAAUGAUGGCCAGGCUGUCUCCACCCGAGACUCAGUGAAAUUGAACUCGCUGUGAAGAUGCAGUGUACCCGCGGCAAGACGGAAAGACCCCGUGAACCUUUACUAUAGCUUGACACUGAACAUUGAGCCUUGAUGUGUAGGAUAGGUGGGAGGCUUUGAAGUGUGGACGCCAGUCUGCAUGGAGCCGACCUUGAAAUACCACCCUUUAAUGUUUGAUGUUCUAACGUGGACCCGUAAUCCGGGUUGCGGACAGUGUCUGGUGGGUAGUUUGACUGGGGCGGUCUCCUCCUAAAGAGUAACGGAGGAGCACGAAGGUUGGCUAAUCCUGGUCGGACAUCAGGAGGUUAGUGCAAUGGCAUAAGCCAGCUUGACUGCGAGCGUGACGGCGCGAGCAGGUGCGAAAGCAGGUCAUAGUGAUCCGGUGGUUCUGAAUGGAAGGGCCAUCGCUCAACGGAUAAAAGGUACUCCGGGGAUAACAGGCUGAUACCGCCCAAGAGUUCAUAUCGACGGCGGUGUUUGGCACCUCGAUGUCGGCUCAUCACAUCCUGGGGCUGAAGUAGGUCCCAAGGGUAUGGCUGUUCGCCAUUUAAAGUGGUACGCGAGCUGGGUUUAGAACGUCGUGAGACAGUUCGGUCCCUAUCUGCCGUGGGCGCUGGAGAACUGAGGGGGGCUGCUCCUAGUACGAGAGGACCGGAGUGGACGCAUCACUGGUGUUCGGGUUGUCAUGCCAAUGGCACUGCCCGGUAGCUAAAUGCGGAAGAGAUAAGUGCUGAAAGCAUCUAAGCACGAAACUUGCCCCGAGAUGAGUUCUCCCUGAGACUUAGAGUCUCCUGAAGGAACGUUGAAGACGACGACGUUGAUAGGCCGGGUGUGUAAGCGCAGCGAUGCGUUGAGCUAACCGGUACUAAUGAACCGUGAGGCUUAACCUUACAACGCCGAAG
rnacentral:rRNA from 1 species